GCUGAUAUGGCUCAGUUGGUAGAGCGCACCCUUGGUAAGGGUUGAGGUCCCCAGUUCGACUCUGGGUAUCAGCACCA
rnacentral:tRNA from 1 species